GAAGAGUGUCACUUCGCUAAUCAGUGCUCAAAAGUACGAAGACGGAAUUCUGCUAUGGGAGUGGAUGCAAGCGAAGACGGCGAAACAACUUCUCGAGGCCCGCGGCUGCCGCCAUCGCGGAUAUACGAGAUCCGCAAGAGGGCCGAGCUCUGGACCGCGCCUCCGAGUUGGACCGUGCCUCCAGCCUCGCCACCGUCAUCGCCGACGAGCAGCUCGAAUAAGCUCCACCCGAUCGCUCUCAGCGACCCGGCGGCUGCGACAUGUGCAACGUCCGGGACGGUUCUUCCCUACGGGCAUCGCCCGAGCACCGGACCAGGACGCAGGAUAGGAUAGGAUGGGGAGGAGGAUGUGGUGGUCAAGAAGGAAACAUCGAGUGGUGGAGAGAGUCAUAGUUCGUCGUCGUUGUCCGAGGCUAUAGAUGUGGAAGAGAAAGAAUCUGGCGCAGCGAGUGAUCAAAUUGAUCAACAUUCGACCCUUACCUCAAAGAGAUGAAAAUCUUGGCAAAACCCUAAUCGUCAAGAUUAUUACGCAAGGGAAGAUUGGAGGAUUUCUGGACGGGAUCAUGUCACCAUGGAUGCCUGCCGAAAGAUGGACAGCCACUCUGACGGGGCGAGGCGCGGAGGCAAAGAGUUCCAGAUCGGUUUGGCCGGAAUAAAGUAACGAAGCGAUGGCUAAUUUCCAAGGACUUGAAGAUGGAAGAUGGAAGAUGGAGAAGCUAGUUGUAUAGCAAAUGUUAGUACAAGAAACCAUAGAAAUGGCAUCAGCCAACGAUUUGGGGAUUCAUUUAGUUUGAAUGUUGACGUCUGGCAAGGGAGAAAUGGUUAAGAUCGGUUAAUGGAAAAUGCAGCAGUGCCAAUAGCAGGUCCGUAACAGAGAGGAUGGCACUGCGACCUACCAGAGGCUUGUUCAACAGGGAGGGUAACCAUGGCAGGAAAAGUUCCUUGCAGAGUGGAGAUAAUGGUUACAAAAGAUAUGCUGAGAGGUCUAAGCACCGAAGACAACCUGAUUUUGAUCGGAAUUUUUGGUUGGAAUCUUGAAUUCCGAGGUCCAAUGAUAACAACAAGCCAUAAUUCUUAGCUUUUUGGGAUCGGCUCAAUGGAUCUUUAUCCAAUAUUGAAUUCCAAGGAAGAACUUUCCAAUUACACUGUGAUGGUGAUUCUAACUCAAAAGUCAAUUAACCAGGAACAGUACCCCGGAAGCAUCACAAUCAGAGGCAUGUAAGUGAAAGAAAAAAGCAAGCAGAUGCGGAUGUGAAUCCGAAGCCACUGCUGGAAGACGUCUGAUUUCUCUUGCAGAAUGAUCACCUUGGAUGAGAAGAACCAAGUGAGGCAGCGGGAGGAGAUGGAAUGCAGCGGGAGUGUGGCGUUAUUUAUAGUGCCCAGGAGCAGAAAAAGGCGUGAAUCUGGCAAUGCUAAUAGGAUGAGAGCAUGAGGAGGAACUCCCUCUAGAUUUACCAGGACAACUCGGAAUGGAAACUGCAAAACUGCGUGUCACAGAACUGCGUGCGUCCCACUUGGCGUGAUAGAAUGAGGCUGUGGAAGGAGGAACACGAUCUUAUCAUGCAAAAGGUAGGAUUGCAUGGUCAGACACCUGCAGGUGCCAUCGAGUUCAUGCUACUUACUGCAUGCCUCACAUGGCCUACCCAUCAUGAGCAACGCAGUGCCCCCUUCUUCUUCUUGUCUUGAGUUGCUGUCUGGGAGUCAAACUGGACUGAUACAUGAUGAUGAACAGGUUGGAGUAUUCAAUUCCUGCCCGCGUUAAUUUUCUUGGAUCGAGCCCACCGCGUUAAAUACAUGAUGAUGGCAAACUGGAAAAGAAGUCAUCUGGAAGCUGGGUGUGACUGUAGAACAGAUCUUUGUACCAAUUAAGUCCUAGUUGAAUGAAGGUGGAGGGCGCAGAGUCACAUGGACCUUAUCACCGGCGGUAGCUCCUUUUGUACCGUGUGGUCUGCACCUCAACAAACUGACGGCUUACCUGUUUGUAAAAGCUGUAAGUCCUUUGCCACCCAAAUCUACGAGAUCUGCGAGCGACCACAAAAGAAAA